rnacentral:rRNA from 1 species
UACGGAGGUCCCAAGCGUUGUUCGGAAUUACUGGGCGUAAAGGGAGCGCAGGCGGACGAGUAAGUCUAAAGUGGAAGCCCGGGGCUCAACCUCGGAACUGCUUCGGAUACUGCUCGUCUUGAGUUCGUGAGAGGAAAGCGGAAUUCAGGGUGUAGCGGUGAAAUGCUUAGAUAUCCUGAGGAACACCAAUGGCGAAGGCAGCUUUCUGGCGCGAUACUGACGCUGAGGCUCGAAAGCGUGGGGAGCGAACGGG